GACAGAGGUGCCGAGCGUUAGGCGGAAUCACUGGGCUUAAAGCGUGUGUAGGCGGACUUCUCAGUACCUUGUGAAAUCCCACGGCUCAACCGUGGAACUGCUCGGUAUACUGGUUGUCUUGAGCCACUUAGGGGCAGUCGGAACAGACGGUGGAGCGGUGAAAUGCGUAGAUAUCGUCUGGAACGCCAAAGGUGAAAACAGGUUGCUGGGGAUGUGACGACGCUGAGACACGAAAGCCAGGGGAGCAAACGGG
rnacentral:rRNA from 1 species